GUGGCAUUUAGUCCAUUCACAAUAUUGUACAACCACUAUCUCUAUCCAGGUCUAGAACAUUUGCCUCACUCCAAGGUAAAACUCCGUAUCGGUUAAGCAUUCCUUUCCCUGACCCCUGCCCCCAUAACAAGCUUCUGGCAACUAUAAUUUGCUUCCUGCCUCUAUUCUGGAAGUUUCAUACAAAUGGAAUUAUAUAGUAUGUGACCUUUUGUGUCUGGCUUCUUUCACUUAGCCUCAUGUGUCAGGUUUCAUCCUUGUUGUGGCAUGUGUCAGUACUCCAUUCCUUUUCGUGGCUGAGUAGUAUUCCAUUGUAUGGAUAGAUCCCAUUUUGCUUAUCCAGUCAUCCAUGGAAGGACCUCUGAGUUGUUUACACUUUUUGGCAGUUGUGAGUAAUAUUGCUUUGUACAUCGGCGUACAUGGAUUUGAGGACCUAUUUUCAACUUUUUAGGGCACAUACCUAGCAGUGAAAUUGCUGGGUCAUAUAGUAACUGUAUUUAAUUUUUUUGAGGAACUGCCAAACUUUUCCACAGGAGCUGCAUCAUUUUACAUUCCUACUAGAAAUUGGUCAAGGAUUCCAACAUCUCCACACUCUCACCAACAUUUGUUAUUUUCAUGUUUAUUUAUUGGGUGUGAAGUGGUGUCUCAUUGUGGUUUUUUGUGUUUGUUUUUUUCUUGGCCACAUCUUCUGUAUGCAGAAGUUCCAGGACCAGGGAUCAAACCUGUGCCAGAGCAGUGACCCAGGGCAUUGCAGUAACAAUACCAGAUCCUUAACCUGCUGAGCCACCAGGGAGCUCCUCAUUGUGGUUCUGAUUUGCAUUUCCCUGAUGACUAAUUCUUUUUUUUUUUUUUAACUUACUUUUCUUCCGCUUUUUAGGGCUGCACCUGCAGCAUAUGGAGGUUCCCAGGCUAGGGGUCGAAUCGGAGCUGUAGCCACCGGCCAACACCAGAGCCACAGCAACGUGGGAUCCAAGACACGUCUGCAACCUACACCAUAGCUCACAGCAACGCCAGAUGCUUAACCCACUGAGCGGGGCCAGGGAUCGAACCUGCAACCUCAUGGUUCCUAGUCAGAUUCGUUAACCUCUGAGCCACGACGGGAACUCCCCUUCUUUCUUUUAUCUCAUUUUUGGCUGCCCCGUGGCAGUAUGGAGCUCCCGGGCCUGGGAUCAGAUCCGAGCCGCAGUUUCGACCGAAACCACAGCUGCAGCAACACAGGACCCUUAACCCACUGUGCUGGGCCAGGGUUUGAACCUGCGUCCCAGUGCUCCCAAGAUACCUCUGAUCCUGUUGCACCGUAGUGGGAGCUUCUGCUUUAUUUCUUGGGGAUAAAUAUGAAGCACCCCAUGUGUGGAUCGGAAGGUGUGAGCAGUUUUAGGACUUUUGACGUGGAAUGCCACCCUGUCGCCUCAUUGACUCCCGCUGACUCUGUGUCCCUGGCCGCCAGCUCCCAACCCGCUCCGCCUGCUUGUGUUUUCCAGAUGCCUGGGAACCACUCGCCUCCUCCCGUGCCAUGAGGCCGCCUCCGCCCCGACGCCACCCUCCCGUGCCCAUCCCGCCUUUCUCCGCAUCCACACCCGGCCGGGCUGCCCCGGGACGGCGAGGCCCGGCUCUCCUCUGCCCUGCCCCGCACACACCCGCCGCCUGAAGCCACCGGCUCCAAUUGCCAACAUCCUUUGCUUGUCCAGAAAACACCACCACGGAUGGGAAAAGGCUUCCAGCCCUCUGCAAAACCAAGGACUCGGCUGCUUCGCAGGCAGCCUCUCGGUCCCUCCUGCUCUCCUGCGUGUGUGCUUUUUUUUUUUCUAAUUUCAAAUAGACAAUUGAAAAAGGAAAAACAAACAAACAAACAAACUACCUUCUGUCCUAGAAGAUUCAGACUGACAGAUGGGGAGAAGGCCUCGGGGAGAACUCUGCCUCCCGCCUCGACCUUUGCAGCCGGAGAACCCACUGCGGUCAUGGCCUCGGCCACGGUCCCUCGGGGCUGUGGCGCGGGGCGGGGGGCGCCUGCCUGCCGAACGGGGUUUGUCGUCUCAUCCUCGAGCAGCCAAACCACCUGUGUGGCUAGGAUGAUGAAUUACGAUGAUGCUGAUUUUUUGUGAUAACAGUAUUGUGCUAUUUGUGGGAAAAGUGAGGGUUUUUUUUUUUAUAUAUAUAUACCUAUCUAAUUGAUCUCUUUUAUUUAUUGGUUGUUAACUGUUGCUGCUGCCUCGUGUGUCCAGCGCUCCGGGGAUGCGGAGCCCACCGUUUACACGUGCUUGGGAGGAUGGUGGCUGGCAGCGGCCAAGAAGCCAAAAACCUUUUUGUUUUCUUCUUUUGAGAUACUGUGCUUCAUGUUUGGAGAGGGGCAAGGUGGGCUUCUGAAAUGGCUAAUGCACUGUUCCCCCAGCCCGAAUGUCUCCUCUUUAGAACUCUUUCUCUGCCCCCAGUUCCCACAUCUCUCUGUCCCGUGUUGUCCUCUGGGUCCAACAGGGACCAUCUCUCAGUUUCUCGGCUCUCGCUUUGGUGUUGGCGGUGACGUGGGGGAUGGCGGGGCUUGUGCUGAGCCUGGGAGCCAGGACAGGGGCCUGGGUACCUAAGGAGCGAGGGAAGAGGGGGUGACAGGUGUAAAGGCUGCCUCUCCGUCCUUGGCGGCUUUUGAGAAUAGGGGCUCCCGCCUUCCUGCUCCCUCAUCCAGUGUGGACAGUAUCCCUCUGCCCUUCCUUCUUUUAGCUCAAAAGCUGGGAAGGAGCAGGGAGAGAAGGGACUUGGAGAAUCCUGUUCACGUAGCUUCUCGGGCCGUGGCCCAUGUGUGUUCACAGGAAGCUUCUAGCCCUGCCUGCCGCUGAGACAGGGCAGCCUCAGAACUGUCGGCAGGAAAGCCAGAUGACUUUGGACCAGGAACUAGGUGCCCAAGGCUGGCCCUUUGCUCUGUGCCUGGGGGCACGCCCCUGCCCUCUCUGGGCCCCAGCUGCCCCAGCCGCAGAGCCAAGAAGCCUGGACUGGCGGAUCUGAAGGCUCUCCUCUGGUUGAUGCUAAUUCUAAGCUUGGGUUUCCUGCAGUUGGUGAUUCUGCGGUCUGUGGCUGAGUUUCCUGAGCCCAGCAGAUGUGGGCACUGUCUGGGUUGCUGUUUUGUCCCUUGGCAUGAAUCUCCAGGGACAUGGCAGCCGCUGGUCGCGGUGUGUGGGUUCAGAUGACACAUCUGGUCCCUCCCCGCGGUGCUUCCUGGUUCCUCCUGCCCUCGGGAGCUAUUUUGCAGCCCCAAGCUCGACCUCACCCAGGGAAGGCUUCCAGCGGGAGAAGCAGUCUCCCAGAAUGUGCAGGGCCGGGCCGGAGUCUAGAAUCCCUGCUUCUCCUUUGCAAAGUCAGCAUCCAUCUUUUUCUGCUCAUCGCGGCCCCAGGAGAGGAGAAGCUGGCCCUCGCCCCAACUUGGAAUUUUCUUUGGCGUCCAUUUUGCUCUUCCCCAGGAGGCCAGAGCUUCUCUAGCUCGUGAGUCCUCAGCCAGCAGACCCUCUGCCUGAGAGCAGCUCUGCCAGUGGGGGGCUCGUGUGUCCGCUCCUGUAGGCUGGACUGCGAGGCCAGCCCUUACCUCUUCCUUCUUGCGUUCCUUCGCGGGCCCUCUGGCUGCCCUCUGCCUCCAAUGGAAGCCCCCCCCCCGCCCCCUACCCCUAAUCCUGCAGAGACAGGUGCAGUAGUUCCAUUUUCACAGGCGACUUUGAAGCCUGGGUUCUUUGAGGCCCCUGCAGUCACCGACCUGCUCCGGCCGCUGGCCCAGGAGGCCCAGGACUCACCACCAAAUCCCGCAGUUCCUCAGCCUGGCUCUGACCUGGGGCCCUAGGGCAGGAGGUGAGCUUGGUGGCUUGGGGCCGGCGGGGAGAGGGGAGCGGGGCCUUCCUCCAGGUCAGCUGACUUCUCUGGCCUCCGCCUGAGCCUCGAUUUGCCUCUCCGGCCCAGUGGGCAGGGGCUGUCGUGCAGCCUGCCCUGGAGGCAUCGCGGUAAAGGGCUUGCGGCCGAGAAUGAGCCAGGGUUAAGCAUGCGGGGCCCGCCAGCUGAGGCGUCCGUCCCCAGGCAUCCAGGGAGAUCUGCGUGCAAGGCUUCCCUCCCACCUCCUCGCCUUUUGGCCUUUUGUUUUGGAGCCAUGGGUGUGGCUUUUGGCCUUAGCUGGCAGUACCAUGGAUGCACGCCCCAGGCACACCGAGUCCACCCCCGGAGACGGUCCAGAGCUGCCAGUCGGAGGCCGCUCUUCUUCCUGGCAGGGGGCUGGACACUGGCCAUUUUUGCCCAAGGUUGCUGGCAGGGGGCAGUUCUGUCCCCUCCUCUGACCGGAUCUCUAGCUGCAGCACCCUGGGAGCCCUGAGCAGCCUGUGGGCCUCGCUCCUCAGCCCCAUGUUGCACCUGAGGCCCACCCCCAUCAGCUGCUGCUCUCUGGGGCUGCCUGAUCAGCCGGGAGCCAGGCUCUCUGUCCCUCUGCUGACCCUUGCUCUCCAGCCCAGGAGCAGGGACCAGCCUUGGGCAGCCCAUCUGCAGUGGCCCUGGUCUCUUUCUCACCGUGUCCGCUGCUCACUCCGUGUUGAUGGUACUUAGAGAACGCCGCGAGUUUGUAGUAUUUCACCAGGCAAUGUUUAGAGUCGUGUCGAAAGGCAAACCUGUGUGUCCUCUUUCUUUUCAUUUUGACAGCCAACUGCCUAGAUGACAGAUGCACCUGGGCUUUCGGGGACAUUGUGUCUUCUCUAGGGGGUUGGGGGAUGGGAAGAGGCAGAAAAAGCCCCACUGCUCACCUAGAGGAAAGCCACCUGAUUCCCAGCGGUUUCAGUGUCUAAGGGAUGGAAGGGAAGGCGGGCACGCCCCCUGGUGGCGAUGAGCCGUGACGGCAUGUGGGGGCCCUGACCUGCCGCAUAGGUGAUUUGAGAGGGGAGGCUGCGGAUGGGGAGGUGAAGAGGGGGCUGUGAUCUCACCCAGACCCUGGGCUUCCUGCCCCACCUUUUGGCAGCAUGUCUCCCAGACGCCUCUCUUCCUGAUCAACCCCGGGGGAUGGCAAGUGAAUUAGCAUCAAAGGCGCUGUGAUGAGAAGCCUCGCCCCACCCUUUUUUAAUAUCUGCGGAAUAAACGCAAUGGUUGAUUUUUGAACGAAUAAAAGGCUUUUGUUGAAUAAACAGCUCGUCCCAUCUUCUGUCUUGGCAUCUAGGCAUUGCAGGCUUUGUCUCCCCCAGAUCGGGACAAACGCAGAAUCCCCAGUAGGUGGUACAUUUCUGUUUUCGUGCGUCCUUGUCACGGGCUCCCAGUCUGACUCAGUGACCGGCGCUCUCCAGGAAUCUGGGCAAGUCGCUUCUACUCAUUGGGACUCAGUGUCUCCAUCCGUCAGAUGGGAGUGAGUCUGCUCAGCCCAUGUCGCAGGGCCAUUGUGGGGAGCAGCUAUGAGCCGUAUCAUCAUCAAAGCCUUUGGCCAAGGUGAAAGGCCACUGUGGCCAUCUGAAUUGUCACGGUGCCCCCACCCAGAGCCUGUGACUGUGGAAUGGAUUUUGAGCAACUGUUACUGCGGAAAAAAAAAAAAAAAAAAAAAAAA
ensembl:lncRNA